ACGGGUGAGUAACACGUGGGAACGUACCUUUCGGUUCGGAAUAAUUCAGGGAAACUUGGACUAAUACCGGAUACGCCCUUCGGGGGAAAGAUUUAUCGCCGAAAGAUCGGCCCGCGUCUGAUUAGCUAGUUGGUGAGGUAAAGGCUCACCAAGGCGACGAUCAGUAGCUGGUCUGAGAGGAUGAUCAGCCACAUUGGGACUGAGACACGGCCCAAACUCCUACGGGAGGCAGCAGUGGGGAAUAUUGGACAAUGGGCGCAAGCCUGAUCCAGCCAUGCCGCGUGAGUGAUGAAGGCCUUAGGGUUGUAAAGCUCUUUUGUCCGGGAAGAUAAUGACUGUACCGGAAGAAUAAGCCCCGGCUAACUUCGUGCCAGCAGCCGCGGUAAUACGAAGGGGGCUAGCGUUGCUCGGAAUCACUGGGCGUAAAGGGCGCGUAGGCGGACUUUUAAGUCGGAGGUGAAAGCCCAGGGCUCAACCCUGGAAUUGCCUUCGAUACUGGGAGUCUUGAGUUCGGGAGAGGUUGGUGGAACUGCGAGUGUAGAGGUG
rnacentral:rRNA from 1 species